AACGAACGCUGGCGGCAUGCCUAACACAUGCAAGUCGAACGAGCCCUUCGGGUCUAGUGGCGCACGGGUGCGUAACGCGUGGGAACCUGCCCUUAGGUUUGGAAUAACUCCCCGACAGGGGUGCUAAUACCGGAUAAUGUCUUCGGACCAAAGAUAUAUCGAAUUUGGAUGGGCCGGCGUUGGAUUAGCUUGUUAGUAGGGUAAAAGCCUCACAAGGCGACGAUUCAUAACUGGUUUGAGAGGAUGGUCAGCCACACUGGGACUGAGACACGGCCCAGACUCCUACGGGAGGCGGCAGUGGGGAAUGUUGGACAGUGGGCGAAAUGCUGAAGCAGUAAUGCCGCGUGAGUUAUGAAGGCCUGAGGGUUGUAAAGCGCUUUUACCCGGGAUGAUAAUGACAGUACCGGGAGAAUAAGCUCCGGCUAACUCCGUG
rnacentral:rRNA from 1 species